GCCCACGUAGCUCAGGAGGCAGAGCGCGUCCUUGGUAAGGACGAGGUCACCGGUUCGAGUCCGGUCGUGGGCUCCA
rnacentral:tRNA from 2 species